GGACCAAGUCACACGCAUGGGACUGUGUGCCCUCCGCCGCCCCACCGACACCCGGCCAGGCCUUCGUCAUCCUCCCCUGGACCUCUGGGCGCUCUCUCAGCUGGGGCGCCCAGGACGGCACUCCCUGACUUCUGAGCACAUCCGCAGAGCAGCUCUGCCGGCGUCCUGAAGGGCGGUCAGAGCGGACGGACGGGGACGGCUGCCCACCACACUUGCGGGCCUUUGCUGGCUCCCCUUCCUUCACCCUCGGCCUCUGCCACACCUCCAACCUUCUAGCUCCCGUCCCGAGAUCUCAGGUGUCAGUCGCCGGGAAGAUGUGACUAAUCCCCCCCACCCAACACCCAGCCCGUCUUCGCCCUGGAGCGGCCACUCAUCCCAGCUGCCAACGACGUGUUCCUGUGCGUGUGAGCGGCCGCGGGGGUCGGCAUCUGCUCUGUGACGACGGGCUCUCCGAGGCGGGCUGUCCGCUCUGCCCACCGCCUCGCCACCAGUGCCCACGCAGGAGACUCACACGGGAGUGUUUGUUGAUUGACUACACAAGAGGAUGCCCUAAACGGCACGUGUUCAUUCUGCCGAGUGGCUGAGAGAACCGAGCCUACGCGACCCGAAAUGUUAUGACAUCACGGCCACAUCCAGUUGAAAUGUAGAAACAAGGGAAUUAUCGGGGCACCGGGGGGGCUCAGGCGGUUAAGCAUCUGACUUCGGCUCAGGUCAAGACCUCACGGUUCAUGAGUUCAAGCCCCACAUCUGGCUGUGUGCUGACAGCUCGGAACC